UUAGGAAUCUUGCGCAAUGGGCGAAAGCCUGACGCAGCAACGCCGCGUGGGGGAUGAAGGCCCUCGGGUUGUAAACCCCUUUCAGUCGGGACGAAAAUGACGGUACCGACAGAAGAAGCCCCGGCCAACUACGUGCCAGCAGCCGCGGUGACACGUAGGGGGCAAGCGUUGUCCGGAUUUAUUGGGCGUAAAGGGCUCGUAGGCGGUUCGACAAGUCGGGUGUGAAACCUCCAGGCUCAACCUGGAGUCGCCGCUCGAAACUGUUGUGACUAGAGUCCGGUAGAGGAGCAUGGAAUUUGUGGUGUAGCGGUGGAGUGCGCAGAUAUCACAAGGAACACCAGUAGCGAAGGCGAUGCUCUGGGCCGGUACUGACGCUGAGGAGCGAAAGCAUGGGGAGCGAA
rnacentral:rRNA from 1 species